GAUGAACGCUGGCGGCGUGCCUAAUACAUGCAAGUCGAGCGAACAGACGAGGAGCUUGCUCCCCUGACGUUAGCGGCGGACGGGUGAGUAACACGUGGACAACCUACGUAUUAGACUGGGAUAACCUCGGGAAACCGGAGCUAAUACCGGAGAAUAUAUUGAACCGCAUGGUUCAAUAGUGAAAGAAGACUUUGCUGUCACUUAUAGAUGGAUCCGCGCCGCAUUAGCUAGUUGGUAAGGUAACGGCUUACCAAGGCGACGAUGCGUAGCCGACCUGGGAGGGUGAUCGACCACACUGGAACUGAAACACGGUCCAGACUCCUACGGGAGGCAGCAGUAGGGAAUCUUCCGCAAUGGGCGAAAGCCUGACGGAGCAACGCCGCGUGAGUGAUGAAGGUCUUCGGAUCGUAAAACUCUGUUAUUAGGGAAGAACAAAUGUGUAAGUAACUAAGCACGUCUUGACGGUACCUAAUCAGAAAGCCACGGCUAACUACGUG
rnacentral:rRNA from 1 species